AAGGGGCCACGAGCCUGAUCCAGCAAUUCUGUGUGGACGAUGAAGGUUUUCGGAUUGUAAAGUCCUUUCAGUAGGGAAGAAAAAAAUGACGGUACCUACAGAAGAAGCACCGGCUAAUUAUGUGCCAGCAGCCGCGGUAAGACAUAAGGUGCGAGCGUUAUCCGGAAUCACUGGGCGUAAAGGGCAUCUAGGCGGUUUAUUAAGUCAGGGGUGAAAAGCCGAAGCUCAACUUUGGUCUAGCCUUUGAAACUGAUAGACUAGAAUACGGGAUAGGAGGGCGGAACUACAAGUGUAGAGGUGAAAUUCGUAGAUAUUUGUAGGAAUGCCGAUGACGAAGGUAGCUCUCUGGACCGAUAUUGACGCUGAAGUGCGAAAGCUAGGGUAGCAAA
rnacentral:rRNA from 1 species